UUCUGCCUGCCGUGACUGUUCUUCUCUGCCAUGUGCUACCCCACUUGGAGACAGCCAAAUAUGGAUGGAAAGCUCUACAAAUUAAAUCCUGAAGCCUGAAGCUCAGAAAAUUUCCAAAGAUCUCAACUAAAAACUGCAUGACUUACACUUUACAUGAUACACAAGAAAAUGAAUGAGGGUUUGAUCACCCAAUAGGGUCUGAAAAACUUGAUGGAAACGUCCCAACAAAGCCUUGAUUGCUAAGAAGGAACAAGAGAGUAUAAAAGAUCAUCAGAGGACAUCACAACAGGCAAGUCUCUACCCCUUGCAACCUCAAAACUGCAAAUGUGAAAGACUGCUUUGAGGAGAAAGCUGUAGAGGACCAUGUUGCAGAAUGGAGGAAGCAACACUAUGUCCCAAAAUGGUGGCAGCCUCACCAUCUUCCAAAAUGGUGGUGAGGUUCCAGAAUGGUGGCAGCACAGAGAAUUUGUUCCUCAGA